UGGGCUUCCGCGGUCGGCCGGAGGGCGCGGCUCUGGGGUGGUGUACAUGGUGCCCGGCGGCGGCGGCGGAGAACGACAGCACGUGGCAGAAACCCUUGACGCCUACACCCUCACCGCCAAGAACAUGGAAAAACUCAAUUAACUGGAGAAAGAUCAGGGUUACAUAAGUUGUUUGCCACAUCAUGCUCCCAACUCGGAGGCAAACCAGCUAAACUUCUUGAAGAGUUAGACUCUCUAGCGAAACGUGCCAAGGCGUGAGCCGUAGAGUUGGCAUCUCUGCGGAUCCAACUGAACUUACAAGAUAAGAAGCAAGAAGCUAGCUGCCGGAUUUCCUGAAGAAGGAAGCAUAACUCAGACCUGCUAGCAACAUCACCCUGAAGGUAAUGGACAAGGGACAGGCAGUCACUUUCAACCACGAUAUUAGCAUGAUGCUGGCCAUCCAUCGCCUUCAGAGCCUCCAAACAAGCCAGGGCUUCAGCCUGUAGAGCCGACGAGCAGAAGCCACUAGCUCCCCAGGCGGAAGCGAUAGCAUUGCUCUCGUUGCACCGCAGAACAGUGCCCCACCAAGCUUGAUCCAUCUCAGCAGAGAAGCUGGCAUCAACAUUCAAUUUCAGCCAGUUCUGAGCAGGGGGUUCCCACCGAACCCCACCGGUUCCAUGGAGAGAAGGACCAGGAGGCCUCCGGGAAGGAAGCGCCUGGCUUGUGAUCCGUCCAUCGCUGAGCCGCUGAGCCGAUCUUUAGUCCCGUUGCUUCCGCCCAGGCAGCACAGGAUCGUUUCGUCGUCGCUUCGCAGAUUUUCCAUCGUCGUCGAGUAAUUCGCAAUAAAAGUGGCCGAGUCUUCAAUUGUAGCUUUGCCAUUACCAAAGAUGACAUCAUUCCUGAGAUGCCAUGUCCUCCACCACAGGAACAAGAGAUGUUGUCUCGUCACCAUGUCCGCCGAAUAUUAUGUGAUAAUUAUGAGAA